rnacentral:rRNA from 1 species
CCUACGGGCGACAGCAGUGGGGAAUAUUGCACAAUGGGGGAAACCCUGAUGCAGCGACGCCGCGUGAGUGAAGAAGUAUUUCGGUACGUAAAGCUCUAUCAGCAGGGAAGAAAAUGACGGUACCUGACUAAGAAGCCCCGGCUAACUACGUGCCAGCAGCCGCGGUAAUACGUAGGGGGCAAGCGUUAUCCGGAUUUACUGGGUGUAAAGGGAGCGUAGACGGCAGCGCAAGUCUGAAGUGAAAGCCCAUGGCUUAACCAUGGAACUGCAUUGGAAACUGUGCAGCUAGAGUGCAGGAGAGGUAAGCGGAAUUCCUAGUGUAGCGGUGAAAUGCGUAGAUAUUAGGAGGAACACCAGUGGCGAAGGCGGCUUACUGGACUGUAACUGACGUUGAGGCUCGAAAGCGUGGGGAGCAAACAGGAUUAGAUACCCUUGUAGUC